rnacentral:rRNA from 1 species
UACGUAGGGUGCAAGCGUUGUCCGGAAUUAUUGGGCGUAAAGAGCUCGUAGGCGGUUUGUCGCGUCUGCUGUGAAAACCCGAGGCUCAACCUCGGGCCUGCAGUGGGUACGGGCAGACUAGAGUGCGGUAGGGGAGAUUGGAAUUCCUGGUGUAGCGGUGGAAUGCGCAGAUAUCAGGAGGAACACCAAUGGCGAAGGCAGAUCUCUGGGCCGUACCUGACACUGAUGCGCGACAGCAUGGGGAGCAAACAGG